ensembl:misc_RNA Metazoa_SRP Metazoan signal recognition particle RNA
GCUGGGCAUGGUGGUGCAUGCCUGUAAUCCCAGCUGCUUGGGAGGCUGAGGCAGGAGAAUCACUUGAACCCAGGAGGCUGAGAUUGCAGUGAGCCAAGAUCACAUCAUUGCACUCCAGCCUGGGUGACAGUGAGACCCUGUCUCAA